rnacentral:rRNA from 1 species
UAGUCCACGCAGUAAACGAUGAGUGCUAGUUGCCGGGAUUUUUCUCGGUGGUGAAGCUAACGCGUUAAGCACUCCGCCUGGGGAGUACGGCCGCAAGGCUAAAACUCAAAGGAAUUGACGGGGACCCGCACAAGCAGUGGAGCAUGUGGUUUAAUUCGAUGAUACGCGAGAAACCUUACCAGCUCUUGAAUCCUGAUUACGAUUUUCAGAGAUGAAUUUUUCAGUUCGGCUGGGCACUCUAGCGGAACUGCCGGUGCUAAGCCGGAGGAAGGUGGGGAUGACGUCAAGUCCUCAUGGCCCUUACGGGUAGGGCUACACACGUGCUACAAUGGCGCUGACAGAGGGUUAAUCCCUAAAAGGCGUCUCAGUUCGGAUUGUCUUCUGCAACUCGAAGACAUGAAGUUGGGAUCGCUAGUAAUCGUGGAUCAGCAUGCCACGGUGAAUACGUUCCCGGGCCUUGUACACACCGCCCGU